UUGUCCUUAAUUCAACGGUUAGAAUAUGCUGCUGAUAUCGGUAAUAUAGUGGUUCGAUUCCACUAGGACAAA
rnacentral:tRNA from 1 species